AGUCACUCCCACUCACACUUGUCUUCAGCCCUCCUACUUUGAAGCCACCAGCAGAACAGGGAUUGCUCCGGACAGCCCCGUCUGUUGGCACAGGUGAUGGGCCAGCAGUGUCAGGGAAUUAGCACCCUCUGAGAGCGUCCCUCCCCCAGUGACUGAUGGGAAGUGAAGAGCGAUUACCUCUCCUCUCUCCCUGUUUGGGAUGCAGAGACUAAGGUGUGUGUCCA